rnacentral:rRNA from 1 species
UACAGAGGUCUCGAGCGUUAGGCGGAAUCACUGGGCUUAAAGCGUGUGUAGGCGGAUCGUUAAGUACCUUGUGAAAUCCCACGGCUUAACCGUGGAAUUGCUGGGUAUACUGGCGAUCUUGAGCCACUUAGGGGCUACCGGAACAAAUGGUGGAGCGGUGAAAUGCGUAGAUAUCAUUUGGAACGCCAAUGGUGAAAACAGGUAGCUGGGAGUGAUGCUGACGCUGAGACACGGAAAGCCAGGGGAGCAAACGGG